rnacentral:rRNA from 1 species
AUGGGGAGGGUGAGGCGUUCUCCUCUCCUCGCGGCGUGGCUGGCUCUCGGCUUUGCGUGGCAUUGCGCGCUUCACCAUGCUCCGGCGGCGGCCGUGACGCUGUCGACGGCGUCGCGGUGGGUCGUGGACGAGGCCGGGGACCGCGUGAAGCUGGCGUGCGUGAACUGGCCGUCGCACCUGGAGCCGAUGCUGGCGGAGGGGCUGGGCAAGCGGCCCGUGGGCGCCAUCGCCGGGGACGUCGCCGCCAUGGGGUUCAACUGCGUCCGGCUCACCUGGCCCACGUUCCUGGUGACCAACGCCUCCUACUCGUCCCUCACCGUCGAGCAGUCUUUCCAGAGGCUCAAUCUCACCGAGUCGCUCGCCGGCAUCAGGGCCAACAACCCCGCCGUCGUCGACCUCAAGCUCAUCGACGCGUUCAAGGCCGUGGUGAGCAGCCUCGGCGAGAACAACGUCAUGGUGAUCCUGGACAACCACGUGAGCAAGCCGGGGUGGUGCUGCGACAACUCGGACGGCAACGGGUUCUUCGGCGACGGCUACUUCGAGCCGGACGUCUGGGUCGACGGCCUCACCAAGAUGGCCACCAUGUUCGCCGGCGUCCCCCACGUCGUCGGCAUGAGCCUCAGGAACGAGCUCCGAGGCCCCAGGCAGAACUCAAACGACUGGUACAAGUACAUGCAGCGCGGCGCGGAGGCGGUGCACGCGGCGAACCCGCGGGUGCUGGUGAUCCUCUCCGGCCUCAGCUUCGACAACGACCUGGCGUUCCUCAACUCGCGGCAGGUGAGCCUCAGCUUCGCCCGGAAGGCGGCGUUCGAGGUGCACUGGUACAGCUUCUCCAACGGCCAGGAGUGGGCGGCGGGCAACCCCAACGAGGUGUGCGCGCGGAUCGGGGCCAGCGUGUCCCGCCGCGCGCUCUACCUGCUCGACCAGGGCUGGCCGGUCUUCCUCAGCGAGUUCGGCGUCGACAACCGCGGCGGCAACGCCAACGACAACCGCUACUACGGCUGCGCCGCCGCCGUCGCCGCCGACCUCGACCUCGACUGGGCGCUCUGGACGCUGCAAGGGAGCUACUACCUCCGGCAGGGCGUGCUGGACCUCGACGAGGUCUACGGCGUGCUCGACAGGGCCUGGUCCAGGCCGCGCAACGACACCGCGCUCCGCAGGGUCCAGCCCCUGCAGCGCCCGCUCAGAGGGCCUGGCUACGCGGAGGCGGAGCCGUACACAGUGCUGUUCCACCCGGCGACGGGGCUGUGCGUGCUGCGGCGGUCACUGGCGCAGCCGCUGGAGCUGGGCGCGUGCGCCGACACGGAGGCGUGGGAGUACGCGCCGCAGCAGGGGCGGCUGGCGCUGCGUGACAGCCCGCUGAUGUGCCUCCACGCGCAGGGCGCCGGCCAGCCCGUGCUCCUCGGCACGCCGUGCGACGACGACAUGUCCCGGUGGCGCCUCGUGUCGGACUCCAAGCUGCACGUCGCCGUCAAUGCGUCGUCUUCGUCGUCGUCGGGCUCCGGCAGCGGCGGCGGCAUGCUCUGCCUGGAUGUCGGCGCGGACGGCCAGAGCGUGGUCACCAGCCCAUGCCGGUGCCUGAGCGCGGACAACAGCUGCGACCCGGAGAGCCAGUGGUUCAAGCUGGUGAGCAGCACGAGGAGCGUCGCCGCCAAUAGCAUGCUCGCGGAGCUGCCUGUGAAACUCGUGAGCUCGAAGAUUCGCUCGCUUUGA